GGAUGAGAGAGUGAUCUUGGCUGUGACAUCUGUCACCCCACUAUCGCUAGGGUUGAUUUGUCUGAUCUGGCUGGCUAGGUUGGUGUCCCCUUCCUCCCAUGGGACAUUUGUGUUCCUCCCAAAGAUGCCUGCUUGGUCAAAGAGGACGUUAUUCUCCAAUAGAGGAGGACGCUUCUCUAGGUCCCCCGUAAGAGAAUGUAGAGUAUUCAAGCUUCCAGAACUGCAGACACCAUAUCCAAAUGAAGCGCUGCAUGUGGAGUCUGCCUUUAUUU
ensembl:misc_RNA 7SK 7SK RNA